rnacentral:rRNA from 1 species
AAGCGGGGAAUAGCCCAGAGAAAUUUGGGAUUAAUACCCCAUAAUAUAUUUGAUAAGGCAUCUUAUUAAUAUUAAAGCUUCGGCACUUGAUGAUGGGUGUGCGGCUGAUUAGAUAGUUGGCGGGGUAACGGCCCACCAAGUCUACGAUCAGUAGCUGAUGUGAGAGCAUGAUCAGCCACACGGGCACUGAGACACGGGCCCGACUCCUACGGGAGGCAGCAGUAAGGAAUAUUGGACAAUGGACGAAAGUCUGAUCCAGCCAUGCCGCGUGAAGGAUUAAGGUCCUCUGGAUUGUAACCUUCUUUUAUAUGGGACGAAAAAAGGGCAUUCUUGUUCACUUGACGGUACCAUAUGAAUAAGCACCGGCUAACUCCGUG